rfam:Dendroctonus ponderosae Seq01030519, whole genome shotgun sequence.
GUGCCUUAAACUAAUGAGUAAGGAAAAUAUUCAAGCCUUGGUAACGCUUGGCUUACAUGCUAGCAUACCUAGUUGAAAUUUUUGUGGGGGUUCAGGUCGUCCCAUGGACUGCCGCCUACUUUAGUGGCGGUUCUGGUGAAGCGAUCUGCCCG